UACGGGGGGGAGCAAGCGUUGUCCGGAUUUACUGGGCGUAAAGGGCGCGUAGGCGGCCACUGCAAGUCGGUUGUGAAAUCUCCGGGCUUAACCCGGAAAGGUCAAUCGAUACUGCAGGGCUAGAGUGCAGAAGGGGCAACUGGAAUUCUCGGUGUAGCGGUGAAAUGCGUAGAUAUCGAGAGGAACACCUGCGGCGAAGGCGGGUUGCUGGGCUGACACUGACGCUGAAGCGCGAAAGCUAGGGGAGCGAACGGG
rnacentral:rRNA from 1 species